CAGCCGCGGUAUUCCAGCUCCAAUAGCGUAUAUUAAAGUUGCUGCAGUUAAAAAGCUCGUAGUUGAAUUUCGGGACCAUCAUGUCGGUCGUGCCUCGGUACGUACUGGCAUUGUUGGUUUCUCCCUUCUGACGAACCAUGAUGUCAUUUAUUUGGUGUUGUGGGAAAUCAGGACUGUUACUUUGAAAAAAUUAGAGUGUUUAAAGCAGGCUCACGCUUGAAUACAUUAGCAUGGAAUAAUGAAAUAGGACGUUUGAUUCUAUUUUGUUGGUUUCUAGGAUCGACGUAAUGAUUAAUAGGGAUAGUUGGGGGCAUUAGUAUUCAAUUGUCAGAGGUGAAAUUCUUGGAUUUAUUGAAGACUAACUACUGCGAAAGCAUUUGCCAAGGAUGUUUUCAUUAAUCAAGAACGAAAGUUAGGGGAUCGAAGACGAUCAGAUACCGUCGUAGUCUUAACCAUAAACUAUGCCGACUAGGGAUCGGAUGAUGUUAAUUUUUUAAUGACUCAUUCGGCGCCUUACG
rnacentral:misc_RNA from 1 species